GAUACCCUAUUAUUAAAAAUGUGAUUAAUUUUGCUAUGAUUAUUAUGAGUUAUGAUCUUUAAAGUUAAAAAAUUUGGCGGUAUUUUAGUCUAUUCAGAGGAACCUGUUUUUUGAUUGAUAGUCCACGAUGGGUUUUACUUUAGCUUUAAAUUUAUAUAUCGUCGUUUAUAAGAAUUUUGGGAGAAUAAUAAUUCUUAGGGUUUUAGAUUAAGAAGUAUUUCAGAUCAAGGUGUAGUUUAUGUUAAAGUUAAAAUGGGUUACAAUAUGCUUAUGUGUGGUUUUUAUUUUUAAAUAUUUAAGAUAAAAUGGAUUUGAUAGUAAAUUCUUUUACCUUUGGGAAUUGAUUUAGCUCUAAAAUAUGCACACAUCGCC
rnacentral:rRNA from 1 species